CAGGGACCCACCCCUAUCUGCCUCAGCAUUUGGCUGACUCCUAUCGCUAUCAAAACUGUGUUAAUGUAUUAGAAACUCUUGAAUCCCCAGAUUCUCCUGUAUCCUCUGGGUCUGCAGAAGCAACCCACUCCUUCCUGUUAAAAGAUGGUACUCUGAUGUGCACCACCACCCCCAAGGAACACCCCUUGGUUUAAGCCAAUGCAAAGUCCUUUGCCUUGCGAGACAGCAUGCACACUCCUCAAGGAUAUGUUCUCAACUCCCCUCCUGACCAAUAAUCAGAAAUAUGUCACAACGUAACCCAACUGUGCUGGGCCUGCUAAGAGAGGAAAGGGAUUACAGCCAGCAGGAGCCACCGGACAUAUAUGCAUAUGCAUACAUUCCAAUAUGCGCUGGCAGGAGCUGGGAGAAUACAUAAAUGACUAGAUUCUAAGGGUACUGGAUCAAGGGGCAUGGGACAUAAAGUUGGUUAGGGGACAGUUUAUCAAUAUGGCAGCACUCUUCUGCAAUACAGAUUUAAUACCCUAUUUAAGGAGGUGAAGCUAACAUAUUUCUAGGAUGGCCCUUAGAAGCUUGGACAAAGUGAAGUAGAAGUGCCAGAAUUGCUGUGGCAGAUGGUGGAAGAGGGAUAGAAACCUUGAGCAGUAGGCCUACUACAGUGGAUAUAAUUAGCAAAACUGGGAAACUCACUCUAUGACUAUGUUUGGUGGGAAGCCCUGGAGGACACACUGUUGAUAAAAUCAAUAAGAAAUGCACUGACAAGAAGGCACCAGAAUCUCUGAGAAGCUUAGUGGUUGGUGAUAGUCUUCUGCAAGGUGGGAGAUCCUGUUGCAGAACUGGGCUCUCUGAUAGUAGAAGGAAAUGACAGAAUUCCAAAAUAAUAGAGUCAGGUGACACUUAAAUACCAGAAGAAAAGUGGGUGCAAUUAUUGUCAUGAAAAGCAAAGCUGAAGUGGAAGCCCAGGAGGCCUGACCUGAGAGCUAUUGAAGCAGCAACUAGAACGUGAUGUCCCUGGAGAAACUGUUACCCGUAAGUCAUCUGGGAGUUCCGGUCUUAAGCAUGAGCUGCCCGAUUCUUCUUGCUUGGUGCCCUGCAAUAAAUGCCUCACUUUCUCUUGAUGCUAUGCCAAUGUCAGCAUGUGGCUUUGCUGCCCCAGGCAAGUGGACCCCAGUUCAGUUUGAUAACAAAGAUAAGUAAAUCAAAACCAAUAUCAUAUCCUGGGGGAAAACAGCAGCUGAAAACAUCUGCCUCCUCCGUGGUCAUGUUCCCACAUCCAGUGGCAGGCCAAUCCUUGAGGAUCAGGACAAUUCUGAAAGGCCAUCCUUCAUCUGGAGUCUUCCAUGAGAUUGACUGAGACCACUGGUGCGACCGUGUCACACCCCAAUUCCCCUUCUGCCCAGUCUGGCUUUCUCCACCCCCGACAGGUGUUGAUUCCCAAGAGUCUCUCCCAAUAACCUUAUUGCAUGUGAAUAUAUAUUUUAGAAUCUGCUUCCUGGGAAAUCUGACAGGACAGAAUGAAUCCACAACAUUCACUACCAGAAGAUGCUCUGCCUUUGAACUGGCCUGCCCAUGGGCUUUUCCCUGGACCUUGGGAGCACCUCUAAUCAAAAGUUAAUACCCAGAGCCUCAGAGGUUUCACUGAAACACUGCCCAGGAAGGAGUCACUGAAAAUCCUAUGAGGAAGGGAAGUGGGGGAACCUGGGAGGAAGGAAACUACACAAUCUGAAAGAUGUAUAAAUACAAAGUUUCCAUAAGUUUGGGGCUUGAAUCAUAUACCUGAGAGAGAGAGAUUUCUAGGAAUGAAAAGAAGCAAGCCACAGCCUUUCAUCAACUACCUAAGCCAAGCAGUGGGCAGAUCUACCAGCUGGCCAGGCAGGGGGUGCUGAAUGGCUGUCAGUCUUGUGGACAGGACGUCCCAACUAUUCUGACCUGUCACCGCUAUUUUGGGCACAGAAGGGAGGACCGUGGGGUCGUCAGCCUCAAGGCAUUUAGUCUUCUAUUCCUUUUCUCUUCCUUUCCAGUUCUUUGAAAUGAGAAUCAGGGUUUAUGUCCAGUCCCAGAGUGACACCUUAGACACCUUAAUUACACCACUUUGUUCUCUCUCUCUCUCUCUUUCUUUUUUUUUUUUUUUUGAGAUGGAAUUUUGCUCUUGUUGCCCAGGCUGGAGUGCAAUGGUGCAAUCUCGGCUCACCGCAACCUCCCCCUCCUGGGUUAAAG
rnacentral:lncRNA from 1 species